AGAGUUUGAUCAUGGCUCAGGAUAAACGCUGGCGGCGCACAUAAGACAUGCAAGUCGAACGGAAGUCGUUACGAAAUGGAAUGAAGAUUUAUCUGAUUGAAGUUUUGUAACAAUGGCUUUAGUGGCGGACUGGUGAGUAACACGUAAGCAAUCUACCUAUUAGAGGGGAAUAACAAUGAGAAAUCAUUGCUAAUACCGCAUAAGCUUGUAGUACCGCAUGGUACAGCAAGAAAAGGAGCAAUCCGCUAAUAGAUGAGCUUGCGGCUGAUUAGCUAGUUGGUGUGGUAACGGCAUACCAAGGCAACGAUCAGUAGCCGGGCUGAGAGGCUCUUCGGCCACAUUGGGACUGAGAUACGGCCCAGACUCCUACGGGAGGCAGCAGUCGGGAAUUUUGCGCAAUGGAGGAAACUCUGACGCAGUGACGCCGCGUAUAGGAAGAAGUCU
rnacentral:rRNA from 1 species